CCUGGAUAUUUUCAAGCCAAAUGCGUAAAACCAAGCAAGUGAUUUUUUAGGAUAUUUCGUGCGAAAUUGUAGAGUAUUGUUGCCAUGUUUUGGCUUGGAUAAAUUCAGGACAAAAUUCCCAUAACAUGUUUACAUGUAUUUGCGAAUUAUCGCAUUGUCAUGGAAAGUUUUGGCCUGGAUAUUUUCAAGCCAAAUACGUAAAACAAAGCGGGUGAUUUUUUAGGAUGUUUCGUGCGAAAUUGUAGCGUAUUGUUGCCAUGUUUUGGCUUGGAUAAAUUCAGGACAAAAUUCCCAUAACAUUUUUACAUGUAUUUGCGAAUUAUCGCAUUGUCAUGGAAAGUUUUGCCCUGGAUAUUUUCAAGCCAAAUACGUAAAACCAAGCGGGUGAUUUUUUAGGAUGUUUCGUGCGAAAUUGUAGCGUAUUGUUGCCAUGUUUUGGCUUGGAUAAAUUCAGGACAAAAUUCCCAUAACAUUUUUACAUGUAUUUGCGAAUUAUCGCAUUGUCAUGGAAAGUUUUGGCCUGGAUAUUUUCAAGCCAAAUACGUAAAACCAAGCGGGUGAUUUUUUAGGAUGUUUCGUGCG